UGGCACCACGAGUUACUACAGAGAAUGGUUUACAAAAUAACAAUAAUUAUGUGUCUCCAGUUCUCGCAACGUUAAUAAAUGUGUUGACAAUGUUCACCAAUAUGUGUUUGGGUGGAGUGAUAGUAUGUGCUCUGACCUACGUUCAUAUGUAUCCAGUGACGACGCCUAUGAAGCAACAUGUGUACUUAUGUGUUAUUGGUUAUGUUUUGAUAAUGUGCCAGGCUGUGCAAUGUUUAAAUCCACACGCGGGGUGGGGGAGGCUUGUCAGGUUUCAGAACAGAAUCAUGAUUCACUGGACAUUGCAGAUAGUGGGAUCUAUACUAGUCACAAGUGGAUCCAUCAUACGAAUUGUCAGCUUGACAACUAGUUUUAACACGAUUCACGGUAUUUUUGGUAUAAUAUCUACACUUGUGACAGUGCUGAACAUGCUUUGUGGAGUUCUAAGUAUGACUUCAAGCAAACUCAACAUGAAUAUGAACUUCGUAAAUAUCCUUCACUCGUUUUUUGGCAUUUCGGCGCUAUCUUGUGCAUUUCUCGCCCUUUGUUUCGCGUUCAACAACGGAUACAGAAACUUCAUGGGAAAUAAAAACGCAGACAUUGCCAUUGCGUUGUCAGUUAUUGCCUGGGUUGGAACUUUGUUGUUACCCUGCAUGAAUGGAAUUAAAAGGAUCCGCAGUUAAUAAAGGCAAUGUUUCAUAUGAUAAGAACCUUAAUCAAACGUUCUCGUUUCUAACGUUUCCUUUGAUUUGUUCUACUAAGAUGCAUCAAUGUUUAAAAGUUAAGGUUCUUGUCUUUUAAAUAGCAUGGUCGAAAACAACGCAUUAAAUCAAAAAUAGUUAGAUAAAUACUAAAAAAUACGGUCUUAAAGAAAACCAAACAAAAAUGGCGAAAAUAAUAUUUAAUGUGAAUAAACUACGAAUAGUGUAAAAAAAUGUAUUUGAUCGUAAUAUACUUUAUUAGCGAUGCUUGAUUUGAUUCACAAAAUAUAUUGGUAAAAGUGAAGUCAUUUUGAAUUCGAGUAAAUCUUAAACUACUUACAAUUAUUAUUUUUCCUUUAUUCGUCUUAAAACGGUGCAACAUAGUAACGAAUUAACACGCGCCAUAGUCAUUGGCACAGACACUAACGGGUAUCGGACAUAAAAUAAUCGCUUAUCCUGAAGCUCCUGAUAAGAAAAUGGAACAGAUCAUAUUAAUUAUAAAUAGACAGCAAACCUUUACCAGUGUGCUAAGUUUCAUAUCAAUCCAACAUUUUAAAGUCGGUGAAAUUCAUGUUUAAAGUGACCGUUACAUAAUCUAACAUAUCUAUGAAGCUAAUAAAAGCGUUAUAAAAAGCAUUAAUAAGUAAAUAACAAUUAUACUAGUCUAUUCAUAUCUGACAACAAAAAAUAUUCUUAAUUAAUAUUUAAGAAGUUUACUGAGUUUUAAUUGUGCAAUUGUUAGCUGUAAGAACUAGUAACUAUAAGAUUAUAUUAUAAGUAUUAUAAAUAUUUUUUAAGCUUUCGCCAUAGUUUAUAAGCAUUUAUAUAAAUUUAAGCUGACUUUAUAUGA